rnacentral:snoRNA from 1 species
CUGGCUGUGAUUAUACUUCAAAGUAUACCAAUUGUUCCGACUGAAUAGUGGGUUUUCACUGCAUGUCGACAACCGGUUCUAUCGUUAAGUUUCAGCCUUGUAUGAGCCAG